UACGGGGGGGGCAAGCGUUGUUCGGAAUUACUGGGCGUAAAGGGCUCGUAGGCGGCCAACUAAGUCGGAUGUGAAAUCCCCAGGCUUAACCUGGGAAUUGCAUCCGAUACUGGAUGGCUUGAAUCCGGGAGAGGGAUGCGGAAUUCCAGGUGUAGCGGUGAAAUGCGUAGAUAUCUGGAGGACCACCGGUGGCGAAGGCGGCAUCCUGGACCGGCAUUGACGCUGAGGAGCGAAAGCCAGGGGAGCAAACGGG
rnacentral:rRNA from 1 species